rnacentral:lncRNA from 1 species
UUUUACUGUAAAGGAACAAAAUGGGAUGAACAUAGCUGCUCUUGUGUUUAAUAUAGUGACCCAAGCAUAUAUUGUGCCUAAAUUUUAGGCCUGUUAGUUCACAGCAGUAUAAAAGAAGUAAUCUGAAUGAAUGAAUUAGCAUAAAUGAAUUAGAUACCUCUAAUUUACAAGUAGCGUCUCUACCUGUAAAAUUUCUAAGUCUAAAAUACAGUGACCCUGUGAAAAGACUUAAGUAUAUGUGUGCCUUUUUUAGCUUAGAUGAGUUAAAAUGUAAUGCUAAUGCAUCCAGGGUUGCAAUUUAUAAAGCCAGCUUAACAACUGUUCUAUGAUUAUAGACUGUAAACUAAUCCUGAGUAUCUUAUUGCAGAUAUGUAUGCAGAGGAAGGACUGAGGAAGGAUGUGUUGAUGGUUCAAAAUAAAUCUA